UCAGAAAGUUGACAAAUGGCAUUUAACAACCAGAUUAUGUUCAAAAUGAACAGGGAUGAAAAUCCCAGUUGAUCCAGUCCCACCUGCAGAUUGCCUGGUUAGUCCCCCAGGAGCUGGCAGUUAGUUGAUAGGACUCAGCAGGGUGUCCUACACAAAAGGAAAUCAUGGGGAAAUAUCUGCUGCUUUAUCCAGAAUGCAGUCUCUGGCGAUCUCUCUGGCAAAAGCAUGAUGCACAGGAUUUCAUGCAGUGCAAGUGAGUCCUGCUAAAUCUCCCACUCACUCCUC